UGAAGGGCAGCAGAAACGUAUCAGUCGUAUGAUUAAAAUAUUUUAGAUCUAUCUAAUCUACCAACUUGUUGAGAAUUUUAAAAGUAUGUUUGAUUUAGAAAAUGAACAUCUGUAGACUCCAACUUUUAAAAAUCAUUCGGACUAGAGGUCUAGAUCUUAUCUUGGAUGUCUAGCGCUAUGGCCACAGCCAAACCAGCUCUUCGCAACUUACUUUUAAACAAAACAAAAAAGGACUUUGUUGUGGCCCUUUCUGUAGCAGUUGUAGCAUCAGUUUCUUAUUAUUAUGGUGUUAAAAUGCAGAGAAAAAAAACUUUUGAAGAAUUCCACAAGACAUAUGAUGCUGAUGCAGCCUAUCAGAGGAUGAAGAGUAAAGGGGUGUUUAGGGGACUAACCUCUAGCUAAUAGUCCUACCUAAUUUUUGAGUUUCCAAUGAGCCAUCAAGAUUGCAGACAAGUUUUGUUGAAUGUAUUUUUCUAUAGAAUUGUUUAGUAAAUAAAACACAUGACUUAACAAA
rnacentral:sRNA from 1 species